CAAUAGCGUAUAUUAAAGUUGUUGCGGUUAAAAAGCUCGUAGUUGGUUGGCCUGGGCAUCUUCUUGGAGAACGUAGCUGCACUUGACUGUGUGGUGCGGUGUCCAGGACUUUUACUUUGAGGAAAUUAGAGUGUUUCAAGCAGGCACACGCCUUGAAUACAUUAGCAUGGAAUAAUAAGAUAGGACCUCGGUUCUAUUUUGUUGGUUUCUAGAGCUGAGGUAAUGAUUAAUAGGGAUAGUUGGGGGCAUUCGUAUUUAACUGUCAGAGGUGAAAUUCUUGGAUUUAUGAAAGACGAACUUCUGCGAAAGCAUUUGCCAAGGAUGUUUUCAUUAA
rnacentral:rRNA from 1 species